GAUGAACGCUGGCGGCGUGCCUAAUGCAUGCAAGUCGAGCGAACGGACGAGAAGCUUGCUUCUCUGAUGUUAGCGGCGGACGGGUGAGUAACACGUGGAUAACCUACCUAUAAGACUGGGGUAACUUCGGGAAACCGGAGCUAAUACCGGAUAAUAUUUUGAACCGCAUGGUUCAAAAGUGAAAGACGGUCUUGCUGUCACUUAUAGAUGGAUCCGCGCUGCAUUAGCUAGUUGGUAAGGUAACGGCUUACCAAGGCAACGAUGCGUAGCCGACCUGAGAGGGCGAUCGGCCACACUGGAACUGAGACACGGUCCAGACUCCUACGGGAGGCAGCAGUAGGGAAUCUUCCGCAAUGGGCGAAAGCUUGACGGAGCAACGCCGCGUGAGUGAUGAAGGUCUUCGGAUCGUAAAACUCUGUUAUUAGGGAAGAACAAAUGUGUAAGUAACUAUGCACGUCUUGACGGUACCUAAUCAGAAAGCCACGGCUAACUACGUG
rnacentral:rRNA from 1 species